rnacentral:rRNA from 1 species
UAACAUAUGCUUGUCUCAAAGACUAAGCCAUGCAUGUCUAAGUAUAAACAACUUUAUACUGUGAAACUGCGUACAGCUCAUUAUAUCAGCAAUUAUUUAUUUGAUGGUACCUUACUACAUGGAUAACCGUGGUAAUUCUAGAGCUAAUACAUGCACAAAGUCCCAACUCUUGCGGGGAGGGAUGUAUUUAUUAGAUACAAAACCAAUACCACCUCUGGUGGAUAUUGUGGUGACUCAUAAUAACUGAUCGAAUCGCAUGGCUUCAUGCUGGCGAUAGU